UGUGAGCUCGAUGAGUAGGGCGGGACACGUGGUAUCCUGUCUGAAUAUGGGGGGACCAUCCUCCAAGGCUAAAUACUCCUGACUGACCGAUAGUGAACCAGUACCGUGAGGGAAAGGCGAAAAGAACCCCGGCGAGGGGAGUGAAAAAGAACCUGAAACCGUGUACGUACAAGCAGUGGGAGCCUCUUUUAUGGGGUGACUGCGUACCUUUUGUAUAAUGGGUCAGCGACUUAUAUUCUGUAGCAAGGUUAACCGAAUAGGGGAGCCGAAGGGAAACCGAGUCUUAACUGGGCGUUAAGUUGCAGGGUAUAGACCCGAAACCCGGUGAUCUAGCCAUGGGCAGGUUGAAGGUUGGGUAACACUAACUGGAGGACCGAACCGACUAAUGUUGAAAAAUUAGCGGAUGACUUGUGGCUGGGGGUGAAAGGCCAAUCAAACCGGGAGAUAGCUGGUUCUCCCCGAAAGCUAUUUAGGUAGCGCCUCGUGAAUUCAUCUCCGGGGGUAGAGCACUGUUUCGGCAAGGGGGUCAUCCCGACUUACCAACCCGAUGCAAACUGCGAAUACCGGAGAAUGUUAUCACGGGAGACACACGGCGGGUGCUAACGUCCGUCGUGAAGAGGGAAACAACCCAGACCGCCAGCUAAGGUCCCAAAGUCAUGGUUAAGUGGGAAACGAUGUGGGAAGGCCCAGACAGCCAGGAUGUUGGCUUAGAAGCAGCCAUCAUUUAAAGAAAGCGUAAUAGCUCACUGGUCGAGUCGGCCUGCGCGGAAGAUGUAACGGGGCUAAACCAUGCACCGAAGCUGCGGCAGCGACGCUUAUGCGUUGUUGGGUAGGGGAGCGUUCUGUAAGCCUGCGAAGGUGUGCUGUGAGGCAUGCUGGAGGUAUCAGAAGUGCGAAUGCUGACAUAAGUAACGAUAAAGCGGGUGAAAAGCCCGCUCGCCGGAAGACCAAGGGUUCCUGUCCAACGUUAAUCGGGGCAGGGUGAGUCGACCCCUAAGGCGAGGCCGAAAGGCGUAGUCGAUGGGAAACAGGUUAAUAUUCCUGUACUUGGUGUUACUGCGAAGGGGGGACGGAGAAGGCUAUGUUGGCCGGGCGACGGUUGUCCCGGUUUAAGCGUGUAGGCUGGUUUUCCAGGCAAAUCCGGAAAAUCAAGGCUGAGGCGUGAUGACGAGGCACUACGGUGCUGAAGCAACAAAUGCCCUGCUUCCAGGAAAAGCCUCUAAGCAUCAGGUAACAUCAAAUCGUACCCCAAACCGACACAGGUGGUCAGGUAGAGAAUACCAAGGCGCUUGAGAGAACUCGGGUGAAGGAACUAGGCAAAAUGGUGCCGUAACUUCGGGAGAAGGCACGCUGAUAUGUAGGUGAAGCGACUUGCUCGUGGAGCUGAAAUCAGUCGAAGAUACCAGCUGGCUGCAACUGUUUAUUAAAAACACAGCACUGUGCAAACACGAAAGUGGACGUAUACGGUGUGACGCCUGCCCGGUGCCGGAAGGUUAAUUGAUGGGGUCAGCGCAAGCGAAGCUCUUGAUCGAAGCCCCGGUAAACGGCGGCCGUAACUAUAACGGUCCUAAGGUAGCGAAAUUCCUUGUCGGGUAAGUUCCGACCUGCACGAAUGGCGUAAUGAUGGCCAGGCUGUCUCCACCCGAGACUCAGUGAAAUUGAACUCGCUGUGAAGAUGCAGUGUACCCGCGGCAAGACGGAAAGACCCCGUGAACCUUUACUAUAGCUUGACACUGAACAUUGAGCCUUGAUGUGUAGGAUAGGUGGGAGGCUUUGAAGUGUGGACGCCAGUCUGCAUGGAGCCGACCUUGAAAUACCACCCUUUAAUGUUUGAUGUUCUAACGUUGACCCGUAAUCCGGGUUGCGGACAGUGUCUGGUGGGUAGUUUGACUGGGGCGGUCUCCUCCUAAAGAGUAACGGAGGAGCACGAAGGUUGGCUAAUCCUGGUCGGACAUCAGGAGGUUAGUGCAAUGGCAUAAGCCAGCUUGACUGCGAGCGUGACGGCGCGAGCAGGUGCGAAAGCAGGUCAUAGUGAUCCGGUGGUUCUGAAUGGAAGGGCCAUCGCUCAACGGAUAAAAGGUACUCCGGGGAUAACAGGCUGAUACCGCCCAAGAGUUCAUAUCGACGGCGGUGUUUGGCACCUCGAUGUCGGCUCAUCACAUCCUGGGGCUGAAGUAGGUCCCAAGGGUAUGGCUGUUCGCCAUUUAAAGUGGUACGCGAGCUGGGUUUAGAACGUCGUGAGACAGUUCGGUCCCUAUCUGCCGUGGGCGCUGGAGAACUGAGGGGGGCUGCUCCUAGUACGAGAGGACCGGAGUGGACGCAUCACUGGUGUUCGGGUUGUCAUGCCAAUGGCACUGCCCGGUAGCUAAAUGCGGAAGAGAUAAGUGCUGAAAGCAUCUAAGCACGAAACUUGCCCCGAGAUGAGUUCUCCCUGACUCCUUGAGAGUCCUGAAGGAACGUUGAAGACGACGACGUUGAUAGGCCGGGUGUGUAAGCGCAGCGAUGCGUUGAGCUAACCGGUACUAAUGAACCGUGAGGCUUAACCUU
rnacentral:rRNA from 1 species